rnacentral:rRNA from 1 species
GCGGUGGAGCAUGUGGUUAAUUCGACGCAACGCGAAGAACCUUACCAGGGCUUGACAUCCCCUGACCGCGUAUGAAAGUACGUUUUCACCCUCGGGUGACAGGGAGACAGGUGGUGCAUGGUUGUCGUCAGCUCGUGUCGUGAGAUGUUGGGUUAAGUCCCGCAACGAGCGCAACCCCUACGUUUAGUUGCUAACGCGUGAAGGCGAGCACUCUAGACGAACUGCCGUUGACAAAACGGAGGAAGGUGGGGAUGACGUCAAAUCAUCAUGCCCCUUAUGUUCUGGGCUACACACGUGCUACAAUGGCCGGUACAGACGGACGCAAAGCCGCGAGGUGGAGCAAAUCCGAAAAAGCCGGUCUCAGUUCGGAUUGCAGGCUGCAAUUCGCCUGCAUGAAGUCGGAAUCGCUAGUAAUCGCAGGUCAGCAUACUGCGGUGAAUACGUUCCCGGGCCUU